CCCCUUUCCCCUCGAUCCCCACAGCCCCUCCCUCCUCCUCGCUCUCCGCCAUGGCCUCUGCACUAGAGCCUCUCCAUGGCCUCCUACCCAUCCCCCCCACCACCACAGGUGCACACAGACGGUGGAUCUGUGCCGGAAAAGAGCAGCUCCAGUUAUGGUGGGGUACAUCUGUGUCGCCCGUCUUUGCCUCCUCGCUGCAUCCUUGUUGCUGCUCCUCCUCUCUCUCUCUCCGCACCUAGCAGUGCAGCAGCCGGGACAAGGGGAAGGAGCAGCUCAACCCGGCUCCAUCUCUCUCUGGAUGAGCAGGUGGCGAGGGAAGCCGCCACAGCUAGCGGCGGUGCUGCACAGGAACGUCCACCUCCAGGUCUCCAUCCUGUCUCAGAUCCCUUUCCGUUUCAGUGUUGUUCUUUUUUCUCUUGGUGUGCGCUCUCCUGCAUCUCGCGCGGCAGGGAGUGGUGGUGACUAGCAUAGAAGGCGGAGGAGGUCAUUGGAGCCGGCUUCCCUUCCGCUUUGGCUGCCAAGCUCCGCGCGUUGGUGAGUCCCUCUCUCUAUCCCUCUACAUCUCUCCCUCUCUCUGUCAGAGGGCAGCUACCAACCCCGAGGUGCAGGCGGCCAUGGAAAAGCAGAAGAUGCCACACCUAGCUUUCCCCCUUGCCUCCUGCCCUUUCUCUUCAGCUCAUUUAUUUACAUGUGCAAAUUCUCUUUUAUCUAUGCCUGCAAGGUGUUUGAUGAAAGUUCAGUAAGGCUGUGAGGGAAUACCAAACAAGAGAGGAUCCAGUAUCUGUAACAUGCAUCAGAUAUAGAUUGCCGACGGGUGGAUAUAUUGCUCAAAAGAUGUCACUAGUGCUGUACUGCUGUAGAUGCCAUUGAUUUCAUAUAUCAAAGCAUUACAGCUCUUUCAGAUCCUUUGUAUUUCCACUUAGUUAGCUUGAAAAUCUUGUCUACUACGGACACCUCUUGAAAAUUGCAAAGGAGUUCUAACUCCCAACAAGCUUAUUUCCUUAAAAAAUGUAACUGGUACAAUGUUCUACGUACCUUAUGAGAGGUCAGCCCCGGCAUCAUAGUCCAUUCCUGAAGAAGUUCACAUGCAUGGUGUUGAUUGUUGAGUUUGCUUGGUUAACGGAAUGACAUGCCUAUGCAGAUCAGCAGGGGGAAGGUCCAGGGUGAAACCUUCAGGAGGGAUUUGAUGUUGCUAUUGUUUCAGUUUGCAGAUAGAGGAUGUGAUUCCAGCAAGACAGAGACGAUGGCGAUGACAAGUGAGAUUUAUGUUAAGGAGUAUUAGCAUAUGCUCACAGGAUCACUGGAAGCUUAUAAAUGUAUCCGCAAUGAUUGUUGCUUUCUUAUUGACACAUAAUUGAAUUAUAAUUAUAGACAGUAAGAGUAGUUGUCUUUUCAUUUGUUAGAAAACAUAGUGUACCUUUAUAAUCGUAGUUAUAUGCAAUGAUCCAUCAUGUAUUUUUGUUUAAAACUGCAACCCGUAAUUGUUUGAUGUCAUUAAAUGUCUAUAUAUAUAUAUAUAUAUAUAUAUAUAUAUAUAUAUAGUUUACGUUCUUAAAUUAGCCUCCAUACUAUCUGCAUUGUCAUGGUAACCUUGGUAGGUCAUAAUAUGUAGAUCCAUAAUCCCGGUUCAAUUUGAGCUUUCCAUGUGAUUUUUUACCUGAAUAUUAGGAUCACAACUUAAUUAACUUAAAUUAGCAGUAUAGUGUCAAUGGACGUCAUCUGAAGCUAAUAAGAUGUUGUUUAUUGAAGAACAGCCCCUUGCUACUUGCACAGUACAUGAAAAGCACACUAAAUAGAUUAAAGAAAUCAUACUUGACUGUGAUUGCAUUUGGUUGAUGCUUACGUGUAUUUCUCAUGGGUAUACCAAGGGGGCAAUCUUCUAUAUUUCAGGUCCAAAGCUUUCAAUGCAUUUUUUUAUCUGUUUUUCAUGUCCCAAUGAUCAUCUGCAAGUCCGAAUUAUGCCAUUGUUGAUGGUGCACAGGUAUGUUGCAUGGUAAACCCAGUAUUGGCCCUCCUUUCAAGCUCCUGUGUUCAUCCUAGAUAAAAUUCUGGAAAAUACGUCGGAACUAUCUUUUAAUCUUCCAACAGUGUAUUGCUAUGAUUAUAUAUAUGGAUACAUCAUAUCGAUGUGUCUAGAGACCUAAAGCCUUAAGAGUUAAGUGCCAAACUGGGGACUGAUAUUAUAACUGCAGAUGGGCUUUAUUCAGGUGGAAAUUAGCAAGCAAGAUACAGUCGGUGCAUGGAUGACCAAGAUUACUUAUUACUUUAUGAAGAUGAUGAUUCCUGCAUGUUGAUUGUGCUUCAAGGUACAGCUGUUCGUAC